rnacentral:rRNA from 1 species
UACGGAGGGCGCAAGCGUUGUUCGGAAUCAUUGGGCGUAAAGCGCGUGUAGGCGGCCAGGUAAGUCGGAUGUGAAAGCCCGGGGCCCAACCCCGGAACUGCACUCGAUACUGCCUGGCUGGAGUCCCGGAGAGGAUGGCGGAAUUCCCGGUGUAGAGGUGAAAUUCGUAGAUAUCGGGAGGAACACCAGUGGCGAAGGCGGCCAUCUGGACGGUGACUGACGCUGAGACGCGAAAGCGUGGGGAGCAAACAGG